UACGUAGGUGGCAAGCGUUGUCCGGAUUUACUGGGCGUAAAGAGCGCGCAGGCGGUCGUUCAAGUCGCGUGUGAAAGCCCCCGGCUCAACUGGGGAGGGUCACGCGAUACUGAUCGACUCGAAGGCAGGAGAGGGAAGUGGAAUUCCCGGUGUAGCGGUGAAAUGCGCAGAUAUCGGGAGGAACACCAGUAGCGAAGGCGACACUCUGGGCUGGUACUGACGCUGAGGAGCGAAAGCGUGGGGAGCAAACAGG
rnacentral:rRNA from 1 species